AUUUAAAUAGCUUAAUUAAGAGUAUGACUUUGAAGAGGUUAGGGUGAUUAUUAAAUCUUUAAAUA
rnacentral:tRNA from 1 species